GGCAAGGGGAAAGGCCCUGAGCAGUAACUGAGGAGGCCAGGAAGGGCCAAAAGUUAUAUUCUCACCGUUUCAGAGAUGAAGCCAGGUGGGCAAAGUCAGUACCAAGACUCAGGCCUAAAUCCAUCCUUGCUUGGGGUAGGGC